AACACUUUUGCUAAAGAUCAGUCUACUAAGAGAAGUGUUCUUUUAUUGCAGUGGCUCUAAAAUAUAAGAUUAUAGUUACUACCACAUUUCUAGCAUUGUGGCAUUAAAGCUUCUAAAUUGAAAUAGACUUACUUUCUGAAUUUGUCUUCUAUUAGAUCUAAGAAUACGUCAUAAAUUUUUUUGGCUUUGAUCACUAAUUUCCCAUUUUGAGUUGUUAUAUGUUGUGGCUGACUUUCAUAUUAUGUAAUCUCAGUAGCUAUCCCUAUAGUGACAAGAAGAUAUUUCUGUUUAAUUAGAAAUGAUUUCUGUAGUUUAGUGUAAUAUUCAUUAGCAAGAGACUAUGCCUCUGAUUAUUCUGAGUAGAAAUCACACUACUUUUGAAGUGUGUGAUACACACACCCCUUUGCAGUCAGUGACCUGUGUUCAUAAGUUUCCUGGAAAGAAUUUUGGGUCUUUUUUUUUUUCAUUUAUGCAUGAAUAGAUAGCUGUAGGUCACCUGACAUGUGUCACACACUGAUAGAAGUCCUGGCAGUAUAGCUAUAAAUUCAGGAACUUAUGUGCCCUCAAGGAAUUUACAUUCCAGGGCAGAGAUAGCAGUAAACAGAUAAACUGAGAUAAAAUGUCAGAUGAUGAAUAAUACUGUGAAAAAAAACAAGAUCAUGUGAAGAGUCAGAGAGAAUGCCAGGAUGUGGGUGGAAGAGAAAUGCCAUGUAUUUGUGGUGCUCAGAGAAGGACCCUGGUAAGGUGAGACUGGAGAUGAGGCCUGAGGGAAGUAAGGAAAUAAGCUGUGGACCUGUCAACCCAUGGCCCAUGACCUACUGACCCACGAAUCGGCCCGGCCCUCCAGUACACCAUGUCUGGCUCCUCCAGCAUCUCCGCUAUGAAGAAAGUGGUUCAAUAGCUCCAGCUGGAGGCCAGACUCAACCACGUAAAAGUUUCCCAGGCAGCUGCAGACUUGCAACAAUUCUGUCUGCAGAAUGCUCAACAUGAUCCUCUGCUGACUGGAGUAUCUUCAAGUACAAAUCCAUUCAGACCCCAGAAAGUCUGUUCCUUUUUGUAGUAAAAUGAAUCUUUCAAAGGUUUCCCAAACCACUUCUUAUGAUCCAGUGAAUAUUCAAGAGAGCUCCAUUUGAAGCCUGUACAAAAGCUUAUCCCUGUAACACUUGUGCCAUAAUAUACAAACUUCUAUUUCUGUCAGUC